rnacentral:miRNA from 1 species
UGUGUGUGUGUGUGUGUGUGUGUGUGUGUGUGUGUGUACACACACACACACACACACCAACCAUAUU